UAGGGAAUCUUCGGCAAUGGACGAAAGUCUGACCGAGCAACGCCGCGUGAGUGAAGAAGGUUUUCGGAUCGUAAAGCUCUGUUGUAGAGGAAGAAAAUCUAGUAGAUGAAUAAGCUAUUAGACUGACGGUACUCUAUUAGAAAGCCACGGCUAACUACGUGCCAGCAGCCGCGGUAAUACGUAGGUGGCAAGCGUUGUCCGGAAUUAUUGGGCGUAAAGCGCGCGCAGGCGGUUUAAUAAGUCUGAUGUGAAAGCCCACGGCUCAACCGUGGAGGGUCAUUGGAAACUGUAAAACUUGAGUGCAGAAGAGAAGAGUGGAAUUCCACGUGUAGCGGUGAAAUGCGUAGAGAUGUGGAGGAACACCAGUGGCGAAGGCGACUCUUUGGUCUGUAACUGACGCUGAGGCGCGAAAGCGUGGGGAGCAAACAGGAUUAGAUACCCCUGUAGUCC
rnacentral:rRNA from 1 species